CCUACGGGCGGCAGCAGUGGGGGAUAUUGCACAAUGGGGGAAACCCUGAUGCAGCGACGCCGCGUGUGGGAAGACGGUCCUCUGGAUUGUAAACCACUGUCCCCAGGGACGAAGAUGACGGUACCUGGGGAGGAAGCUCCGGCUAACUACGUGCCAGCAGCCGCGGUAAUACGUAGGGAGCGAGCGUUGUCCGGAAUUACUGGGUGUAACGGGAGCGUAGGCGGGACUGCAAGUUGGGUGUCAAAUCUACCGGCUCAACCGGUAGCCGCACUCAAAACUGCAGUUCUUGAGUGAAGUAGAGGCAGGCGGAAUUCCGAGUGUAGCGGUGAAAUGCGUAGAUAUUAGGAGGAACACCAGUGGCGAAGGCGGCCUGCUGGGCUUUUACUGACGCUGAGGCUCGAAAGUGUGGGGAGCAAACAGGAUUAGAUACCCCAGUAGUC
rnacentral:rRNA from 1 species